rnacentral:rRNA from 1 species
GACGUAGGGUGCGAGCGUUGUCCGGAUUUAUUGGGCGUAAAGAGCUCGUAGGCGGCUCGUCGCGUCGACCGUGAAAACCCGCAGCUUAACUGCGGGCUUGCGGUUGAUACGGGCGGGCUAGAGUUCGGUAGGGGAGACUGGAAUUCCUGGUGUAGCGGUGAAAUGCGCAGAUAUCGGGAAGAACACCCGUGGCGAAGGCGGUUCUCUGGGACGGUACUGACGCUGAGACGCGAAAGCGUGGGGAGCGAAUGGG